CGGGGUGUAGCUCAGCUUGGCUUAGAGCGCACGGUUCGGGUCCGUGAGGCCGGAGGUUCGAAUCCUCUCACCCCGA
rnacentral:tRNA from 1 species